GCAAAAGCUCGAGCGGCGCACACCGGAAUAGAGACGACGACGAUGGCGAUCGCUGCGUGGGGACUAAUGUCGAGUGAAAUCUCCAGGUAAUACGACUCCUCGUCCCAUGGCCUCCCGAAGCCGGAGCGACGAAGCGGCCAGCCGAGCGAAGAAGACGAGGGGGUCGUCGCAGAACGCCGCCGAACAGCUGCGGUGGGAGCAGCCGCCGAGGACACGUGACGAGCCCCUGCGCAAGGCGCUGAGCCCCAUCUUCGUGACCGUGGUGGCAGCGCUCCUGGUGGCCAUCGUAAUGGCAAUUCUCUUCCGAACGAGGCGAGCCCUGCAAUGGAGGGCGCCCACGCAGGACAACGCCACCGCGCCGGCUUGACCAUCCACACGCGAAGACCCGGUGGUGUCUUGGUACUGGGAAUGUGAUCAAGGAGCAAUUGGUGUCCUGCCACGAAUUUAUUCUAGUAUGGGAGUCAAGAAGACAGCGAAAAAAUUCUGGACGCCAGAAAUGGCGUUUCAGAAGCCUCGCUCA